UGGGAAUUUUGGACAAUGGGCGCAAGCCUGAUCCAGCCAUGCCGCGUGCGGGAAGAAGGCCUUCGGGUUGUAAACCGCUUUUGUCAGGGAAGAAAUCUUCUGAGUUAAUACCUCGGGAGGAUGACGGUACCUGAAGAAUAAGCACCGGCUAACUACGUGCCAGCAGCCGCGGUAAUACGUAGGGUGCAAGCGUUAAUCGGAAUUACUGGGCGUAAAGCGUGCGCAGGCGGUUUUGUAAGACAGAGGUGAAAUCCCCGGGCUCAACCUGGGAACUGCCUUUGUGACUGCAAGGCUUGAGUGCGGCAGAGGGGGAUGGAAUUCCGCGUGUAGCAGUGAAAUGCGUAGAUAUGCGGAGGAACACCGAUGGCGAAGGCAAUCCCCUGGGCCUGCACUGACGCUCAUGCACGAAAGCGUGGGGAGCAAACAGGAUUAGAUAGCCCUGGUAGUCCACGCCCUAAACGAUGUCAACUGGUUGUUGGGAAGGUUCCUUCUCAGUAACGUAGCUAACGCGUGAAGUUGACCGCCUGGGGAGUACGGCCGCAAGGUUGAAACUCAAAGGAAUUGA
rnacentral:rRNA from 1 species